GCCCGCCUAGCUCAAUCGGAUAGAGCGUCAGACUCUUACGAGCGCGGGUGUUGUAGUAUCACCUUGUGAUCUGAAGGCUGCGAGUUCGACCCUCGCGGUGGGCU